rnacentral:rRNA from 1 species
GACGAACGCUGGCGGCGUGCUUAACACAUGCAAGUCGAACGGAAAGGCCCUGCUUUUGUGGGGUGCUCGAGUGGCGAACGGGUGAGUAACACGUGAGUAACCUGCCCUUGACUUUGGGAUAACUUCAGGAAACUGGGGCUAAUACCGGAUAGGAGCUCCUGCUGCAUGGUGGGGGUUGGAAAGUUUCGGCGGUUGGGGAUGGACUCGCGGCUUAUCAGCUUGUUGGUGGGGUAGUGGCUUACCAAGGCUUUGACGGGUAGCCGGCCUGAGAGGGUGACCGGCCACAUUGGGACUGAGAUACGGCCCAGACUCCUACGGGAGGCAGCAGUGGGGAAUAUUGCAAAAUGGGCGGAAGCCUGAUGCAGCAACGCCGCGUGCGGGAUGACGGCCUUCGGGUUGUAGACCGCUUUCGCCUGUGACGAAGCGUGAGUGACGGUAAUGGGUAAAGAAGCACCGGCUAACUACGUG